rnacentral:rRNA from 1 species
UACGGGGGGGGCAAGCGUUGUUCGGAAUCACUGGGCUUAAAGGGUGCGUAGGCGGGCCGGUUGGUGCCAUGUGAAAGCCCUCAGCUUAACUGAGGAACGGCAUGGCAUACCGCUGGUCUUGAGGUCGGCAGAGGAACCUGGAACUUUGGGUGGAGCGGUGAAAUGCGUAGAUAUCCAAGGGAACGCCGGUGGCGAAAGCGGGGUUCUGGGCCGAUUCUGACGCUGAGGCACGAAAGCGUGGGGAGCAAACAGG